rnacentral:rRNA from 1 species
UACGAAGGGGGCUAGCGUUGCUCGGAAUCACUGGGCGUAAAGGGUGCGUAGGCGGGUCUUUAAGUCAGGGGUGAAAUCCUGGAGCUCAACUCCAGAACUGCCUUUGAUACUGAAGAUCUUGAGUUCGGGAGAGGUGAGUGGAACUGCGAGUGUAGAGGUGAAAUUCGUAGAUAUUCGCAAGAACACCAGUGGCGAAGGCGGCUCACUGGCCCGAUACUGACGCUGAGGCACGAAGGCGCUGGGGAGCCAAAGAGG